rnacentral:lncRNA from 1 species
GUAUAUGUAUAUGGAGUGAGGCUACUAUGCUAUCGGAAGCACGGAGCCUUCCGUGCUUCCGGCUCUUUUUCGAUGUUGCGACUUUCGAAUCGUCAAUCGGCUCCGUUAAACUUGAUCUAGAGUAUUUGGAGUACCUAGAAAAUAAAUUUUAUUAUUUUUCGAUAUCAUUUGCCUAGUGAUCGAAUGGGCUCAAAAUCAACAAAUUUCAAUGGCCGUAGUAAGCCGUUUGCAAGUUUAACGGUGUAGAAAUAUCCAAAUCACGUGAAAUUUUGAUAGAAAAUUCUUUAUACUAGAUAAAACAAGAUCAAUAUAUUUGAUUUAAAAUUUUAAUGUCAUAUUAUUACAUUUUGUAAGAUUUUUAUUUUCAGCCGUUGAUUUUGAGUCCCUUCGUUCACUAGGCAAAUGAUAACGUAAAAUCAUAAAAUUUAUUUUCUAGGCACUUCAAAUACUCUAGAUCAAGUUUAACGGAGCCGAUCGACGAUUCGAAAGUCGCAACAUCGAAAACGAACUGGAAGCACGAAAGGCUCCGUGCUUCCGAUAGCAUAGUAGCCUCACUCUAUGUAUAUGUGUAUAUGUACAAGUUG